UACGAAGGGGGCUAGCGUUGCUCGGAAUCACUGGGCGUAAAGGGUGCGUAGGCGGUUCUUUAAGUCAGAGGUGAAAUCCUGGAGCUCAACUCCAGAACUGCCUUUGAUACUGAGGAUCUUGAGUCCGGGAGAGGUGAGUGGAACUGCGAGUGUAGAGGUGAAAUUCGUAGAUAUUAGGAAGAACACCAGUGGCGAAGGCGGCUCACUGGCCCGGUACUGACGCUGAGGCGCGAAAGCGUGGGGAGCAAACAGG
rnacentral:rRNA from 1 species